rnacentral:lncRNA from 1 species
ACUGAUCUAGAGCAUGAUAGGAAACAAGAAUUAGGGCAUAUUAGACUGAAGAGAAUGGUCUUGGUGGUGGUAGAAUAAUGAUUAAAUUCUUUAGGGGGAGGGACUAUGGAGAGGGAAGGAGUUGUAGCUGGGAAUAAAAUAGUUUAAAUAUUGGCUGUGAGGAGACUUGAUGGAGGGGAAGUGACUGAACAAGCUGGAUUUGGUGUGAGACUGAGAAAAAGCAUCUCUCUCAUCUUCAGUCAACUUUAGAAACGAGACAAGAAAUGGACUUCAAUUCAUUUCUUGUUCAUCUUGUCCUUCUUCCAGAACCCCAGGGGAAAAGUUCAAUAACUUAAGGGGAUUGGGGAAUCUCUUCCUCAGACUAAGGCAGGCUCCCUGAUCUAGCACCUUCUUGAUACCCCUGUUUAUUUCCAGUGAGGAGCCGGAGGCCAUCCUUGGGGGAAUUACUCCUGCGGCAUGCACACAGCCCAACCAGGGCCCGACAGGCGGUACAGGUUCUUCAACCUGGGCGAGAUGGAACAGGACUUGGACUAGGUGGGGGCUCUCCAGGGGCUUCAACUCCAGUUCUGCUCCCCCGGGGUGGGGCUUCUGAGCGCCAAGGUGAGGCUCUUCGAGUCAAGAAUGCUGUCUACUGUGCAGUCAUUUUCCCUGAGUUUCUCAAGGAGUUGGCUGCCAUCUCCCAGGCCCAUGCUGUCACCUCGCCUUUCUUGUUGGAUACUUCAGAGGAGGUAUCUGUUCCUCCCAUCUCAGGCUUUGGGCCCCUCAAUCCUUAAUUUUCUUCCAUGGACAAUCAGGGCCUUCUGUGUUCUGGGCUGAAAUCCAGGACACGGGCUCCUUUUUAUGUUUGGAGGCAGUGGCAAAUGGACUUUUUAAUUUAUUUCAGAUGAAUGUUUUAUGAGAACUUGUUGCAAUAUGUAUAAAAGGGAAAUCUCU